UACAGAGGUCCCAAGCGUUGUUCGGAUUCACUGGGCGUAAAGGGUGCGUAGGCGGCUUGGUAAGUCGGAUGUGAAACCUCCAGGCUCAACCUGGAGUCGCCAUCCGAUACUGCCAUGGCUAGAGUCCGGUAGGGGCCCACGGAAUUCCUGGUGUAGCGGUGAAAUGCGCAGAUAUCAGGAGGAACACCGGUGGCGAAGGCGGGUCUCUGGGCCGAUAUUGACGCUGAGGAGCGAAAGCGUGGGGAGCAAACAGG
rnacentral:rRNA from 1 species